UACGUAGGGGCUAGCGUUAUCCGGAUUUACUGGGCGUAAAGGGUGCGUAGGUGGUUUCUUAAGUCAGAGGUGAAAGGCUACGGCUCAACCGUAGUAAGCCUUUGAAACUGGGAAACUUGAGUACAGGAGAGGAGAGUGGAAUUCCUAGUGUAGCGGUGAAAUGCGUAGAUAUUAGGAGGAACACCAGUUGCGAAGGCGGCUCUCGGGACUGUAACUGACACUGAGGCACGAAAGCGUGGGGAGCAAACAGGAUUAGAUACCCCGGUAGUCCCUGAGCGGGCUGGCAA
rnacentral:rRNA from 1 species